ACCUAUGGCAAAAAGCUCCUGAUCUCAGAAGCUGGGCCGGGCCUGGUUAGUACCUGGAUGGGAUACCGCUUGGGAAUACCAGGUGUCAUAGGCU
rnacentral:rRNA from 1 species